GGGUUGUGAGGUUAAGCGACUAAGCGUACACGGUGGAUGCCCUGGCAGUCAGAGGCGAUGAAGGACGUGCUAAUCUGCGAUAAGCGCCGGUAAGGUGAUAUGAACCGUUAUAACCGGCGAUACCCGAAUGGGGAAACCCAGUGUGAUUCGUCACACUAUCAUUAACUGAAUCCAUAGGUUAAUGAGGCGAACCGGGGGAACUGAAACAUCUAAGUACCCCGAGGAAAAGAAAUCAACCGAGAUUCCCCCAGUAGCGGCGAGCGAACGGGGAGGAGCCCAGAGCCUGAAUCAGCAUGUGUGUUAGUGGAAGCGUCUGGAAAGGUGCGCGAUACAGGGUGACAGCCCCGUACACAAAAGCGCAUGUGCUGUGAGCUCGAUGAGUAGGGCGGGACACGUGGUAUCCUGUCUGAAUAUGGGGGGACCAUCCUCCAAGGCUAAAUACUCCUGACUGACCGAUAGUGAACCAGUACCGUGAGGGAAAGGCGAAAAGAACCCCGGCGAGGGGAGUGAAAAAGAACCUGAAACCGUGUACGUACAAGCAGUGGGAGCACAGGUUUACCUGUGUGACUGCGUACCUUUUGUAUAAUGGGUCAGCGACUUAUAUUCUGUAGCAAGGUUAACCGUAUAGGGGAGCCGUAGGGAAACCGAGUCUUAACCGGGCGUUAAGUUGCAGGGUAUAGACCCGAAACCCGGUGAUCUAGCCAUGGGCAGGUUGAAGGUUGGGUAACACUAACUGGAGGACCGAACCGACUAAUGUUGAAAAAUUAGCGGAUGACCUGUGGCUGGGGGUGAAAGGCCAAUCAAACCGGGAGAUAGCUGGUUCUCCCCGAAAGCUAUUUAGGUAGCGCCUCGUGAAUUCAUCUCCGGGGGUAGAGCACUGUUUCGGCUAGGGGGCCAUCCCGGCUUACCAACCCGAUGCAAACUGCGAAUACCGGAGAAUGUUAUCACGGGAGACACACGGCGGGUGCUAACGUCCGUCGUGAAGAGGGAAACAACCCAGACCGCCAGCUAAGGUCCCAAAGUCAUGGUUAAGUGGGAAACGAUGUGGGAAGGCCCAGACAGCCAGGAUGUUGGCUUAGAAGCAGCCAUCAUUUAAAGAAAGCGUAAUAGCUCACUGGUCGAGUCGGCCUGCGCGGAAGAUGUAACGGGGCUAAACCAUGCACCGAAGCUGCGGCAGCGAACGUAUCACCCAAGACAACUUUACGGAGUUGACGAUUGACGGAGCGAAGCGACGUCAAAGCGUUCAUUAAAGUCGAGUUGGCUUAGGGAUACGUUCGUUGGGUAGGGGAGCGUUCUGUAAGCCUGUGAAGGUGUGUCGUGAGGCAUGCUGGAGGUAUCAGAAGUGCGAAUGCUGACAUAAGUAACGAUAAAGCGGGUGAAAAGCCCGCUCGCCGGAAGACCAAGGGUUCCUGUCCAACGUUAAUCGGGGCAGGGUGAGUCGACCCCUAAGGCGAGGCCGAAAGGCGUAGUCGAUGGGAAACGGGUUAAUAUUCCCGUACUUGGUGUUACUGCGAAGGGGGGACGGAGAAGGCUAUGUUGGCCGGGCGACGGUUGUCCCGGUUUAAGCGUGUAGGUGUGUGUUCCAGGUAAAUCCGGUUCACUUUAACACUGAGGCGUGACGACGAGGCACUACGGUGCUGAAGCAACAAAUGCCCUGCUUCCAGGAAAAGCCUCUAAGCAUCAGGUAACACGAAAUCGUACCCCAAACCGACACAGGUGGUCAGGUAGAGAAUACCAAGGCGCUUGAGAGAACUCGGGUGAAGGAACUAGGCAAAAUGGUGCCGUAACUUCGGGAGAAGGCACGCUGACACGUAGGUGAAGUGAUUUACUCAUGGAGCUGAAGUCAGUCGAAGAUACCAGCUGGCUGCAACUGUUUAUUAAAAACACAGCACUGUGCAAACACGAAAGUGGACGUAUACGGUGUGACGCCUGCCCGGUGCCGGAAGGUUAAUUGAUGGGGUCAGCGCAAGCGAAGCUCCUGAUCGAAGCCCCGGUAAACGGCGGCCGUAACUAUAACGGUCCUAAGGUAGCGAAAUUCCUUGUCGGGUAAGUUCCGACCUGCACGAAUGGCGUAAUGAUGGCCAGGCUGUCUCCACCCGAGACUCAGUGAAAUUGAACUCGCUGUGAAGAUGCAGUGUACCCGCGGCAAGACGGAAAGACCCCGUGAACCUUUACUAUAGCUUGACACUGAACAUUGAGCCUUGAUGUGUAGGAUAGGUGGGAGGCUUUGAAGUGUGGACGCCAGUCUGCAUGGAGCCGACCUUGAAAUACCACCCUUUAAUGUUUGAUGUUCUAACGUGGACCCGUAAUCCGGGUUGCGGACAGUGUCUGGUGGGUAGUUUGACUGGGGCGGUCUCCUCCUAAAGAGUAACGGAGGAGCACGAAGGUUGGCUAAUCCUGGUCGGACAUCAGGAGGUUAGUGCAAUGGCAUAAGCCAGCUUGACUGCGAGCGUGACGGCGCGAGCAGGUGCGAAAGCAGGUCAUAGUGAUCCGGUGGUUCUGAAUGGAAGGGCCAUCGCUCAACGGAUAAAAGGUACUCCGGGGAUAACAGGCUGAUACCGCCCAAGAGUUCAUAUCGACGGCGGUGUUUGGCACCUCGAUGUCGGCUCAUCACAUCCUGGGGCUGAAGUAGGUCCCAAGGGUAUGGCUGUUCGCCAUUUAAAGUGGUACGCGAGCUGGGUUUAGAACGUCGUGAGACAGUUCGGUCCCUAUCUGCCGUGGGCGCUGGAGAACUGAGGGGGGCUGCUCCUAGUACGAGAGGACCGGAGUGGACGCAUCACUGGUGUUCGGGUUGUCAUGCCAAUGGCACUGCCCGGUAGCUAAAUGCGGAAGAGAUAAGUGCUGAAAGCAUCUAAGCACGAAACUUGCCCCGAGAUGAGUUCUCCCUGAGACUUAGAGUCUCCUGAAGGAACGUUGAAGACGACGACGUUGAUAGGCCGGGUGUGUAAGCGCAGCGAUGCGUUGAGCUAACCGGUACUAAUGAACCGUGAGGCUUAACCUUACAACGCCGAAG
rnacentral:rRNA from 1 species